rnacentral:rRNA from 1 species
AGCGAACGCUGGCGGCAGGCCUAACACAUGCAAGUCGAACGGUUCCUUCGGGGACAGUGGCAGACGGGUGAGUAACGCGUGGGAACGUGCCCUUCGGUUCGGAAUAACUCAGGGAAACUUGAGCUAAUACCGGAUACGUCCGAGAGGAGAAAGAUUUAUCGCCGAAGGAUCGGCCCGCGUCUGAUUAGCUAGUUGGUGUGGUAACGGCGCACCAAGGCGACGAUCAGUAGCUGGUCUGAGAGGAUGAUCAGCCACACUGGGACUGAGACACGGCCCAGACUCCUACGGGAGGCAGCAGUGGGGAAUAUUGGACAAUGGGCGCAAGCCUGGUCCAGCCAUGCCGCGUGAGUGAUGAAGGCCCUAGGGUUGUAAAGCUCUUUUAUCCGGGACGAUAAUGACGGUACCGGAAGAAUAAGCCCCGGCUAACUUCGUGCCAGCAGCCGCGGUAAUACGAAGGGGGCUAGCGUUGCUCGGAAUCACUGGGCGUAAAGGGCGCGUAGGCGGACGUUUAAGUCAGGGGUGAAAUCCCGGGGCUCAACCUCGGAAUUGCCUUUGAUACUGGACGUCUCGAGACCGGAAGAGGUAAGUGGAACUGCGAGUGUAGGGGUGAAAUUCGUAGAUAUUCGCAAGAACACC